rnacentral:rRNA from 1 species
CACGUAGGGUGCGAGCGUUGUCCGGAAUUAUUGGGCGUAAAGAGCUCGUAGGCGGUGUGUCGCGUCGGCCGUGAAAACCUGCAGCUUAACUGUGGGCUUGCGGUCGAUACGGGCAUCACUGGAGUUCGGCAGGGGAGACUGGAAUUCCUGGUGUAGCGGUGAAAUGCGCAGAUAUCAGGAGGAACACCGGUGGCGAAGGCGGCAUCCUGGACCAUGACUGACGCUGAGGAGCGAAAGCGUGGGGAGCGAACAGG